UUACCUAUGCUCUGAUUGUUAUGCAGCCCAGAAGUACUUGCGAGGUACGAUCGAUCUUCAAAGUUUCCACGUGUGGGCCUUCAGUUUUGGGACAAGCAAUCUGUUUAUUUGCUGAUUUUAUUGGUGUUAUUCUGGAGAUCAGUUCACAUUAAUGGAGAGAGGAGAGGAGAGCGUUGGAGUUGAAGAUGGGGGCCUGUGGCUACACAUCAAGAGGAUUAGAAAGAGGCUUGCAAAGUAAUAAGGGGUACCUCAAUGGAGCAAAGGGGAGGAAACAUAUAUACUCACAUGGGACUUCUUACUGAUGCCAGCCACUCCGUACCUAAGAUGUUUUCUAAUUUUACCAAACUAAUUAUGUUUAUUUAAAACCUUUCUGCACACAUGAUUUAACCUUUAUACAAAACAGAUUUGGGGUUUGGUAUUUGAGUUCA